rnacentral:tRNA from 1 species
GGCAAAGUGGCCGAGUGGUUAUGGCGCUAGUUUCAGGUCGGUCCAGCGACUUACUAGUUCGAAAGAGCGAGGGUUCGAAUCCCUCCUUUGUCA